AGAGGGAGUCACAUGUCAGUGCACAGCUCCUCUGGGGACAGCCACUUAGACAGUCUGUCUCCUCCUCUUCCCAAAUGGUCUCCAUCACAUGUUGCUUCCAGUCUACCUGCUGGUGCUGAUGUGUCCUAUGUCACAUAACCAACAUGAAACACAACCAACAUGACAGUGUCACACAACCAACAUGACAGUGUCACAAGUUCUCCAGGAACAGAAGGACCAUGUCACAGUAGCAGACAGUGGGAGAGAAAGCAGUGUGCUGAACUCAGAACUGAGCACUCAGCACCCAGAGCCUGAGAGGGUGUGGUAAAGCUCCACCUGGGCUCAAGACAGGGACACAUCUCAGGAGCACAGAGGACCUGGGCAGCCUGACCUCAGCCUCUCCAGAUAUCAGAAGAGCCUCACCCACAUGCAAAUCCCUCCUCCUGCUCUGGGUUCAAAGGCCCUCUGGGCUGUGGAAGCUCCCAGCUCUCUGCUCAGACAGGGCUGAGGUCUCUGGGAAGGCAGGUGUGGUCUAGAAGAUGAGGCUGCUGGGUCUUGUCCUGUGCCUGGUCACAGCUCCCCAAGGUGUCCUGUGCCAGGUGCAGCUGCAGGAGUCAGGACCUGGCCUGGUGAAGCCCUCGAAGACUUGUACUGUCUCUGGAUUCUCCACCACAACCAGUAAUUACAACUGGAACUGGAUCCGUCAUUCCCCAGGGAAGGGGCUGGAGUACAUAGGGCUCAUAACUAGUGGUGGUAGCACUUACUACAGCCCAUCCCUCAAGAGCCGAGUGUCCAUCUCCAGAGACACGUCCAAGAACCAGUUCUCCCUGCAGCUGAGC